GGGCCUUUUUUAAGUGUUGUUUAUAAAAGAAACUUAGGUUUAGUUUGAUAUUAAAGUCCAGCUGACGCUAUUAGAUAAAAUAGAGUUGGGAUAAAAGUAUAUAUGGAUAUGCUUCUGCGUUUUUAGAUGGAACCGUAGAAAAUAUAUUAUAACCGACUCAUCGUGAUAUGCGAAACGUAAUAUUAUGUACGAAAACAAAUCGAGUAUUUUUUCAUCGUACUUUUUCACCGCACAUAACGCAAUCUUUUCGCAAUCUUUUCGCAAUCUCAAACAAAGCCUAACUAAUAAUUAAACUAUGGCCUUAGCACCAAUCUUCCCUAGCUCAAGUGACAGAGAGCUUGAUGGUGGGUACUCGAGAUUCCAAGUUCGAAUCCUAGUUGAUUUAUAUUUCUAGCAAAAUUUAUUUCUAAAAAAAAUAAACGAAACAGAUAACAUAUAUACUACUUUUUCUCUCCCAAAAAAAAAAAACUAU
rnacentral:lncRNA from 1 species